rnacentral:misc_RNA from 1 species
UGAAGAACGUAGCGAAAUGCGAUACUUGGUGUGAAUUGCAGAAUCCCGUGAACCAUCGAGUCUUUGAACGCAAGUUGCGCCCGAAGCCAUUAGGCCGAGGGCACGCCUGCCUGGGCGUCACACGUCGUUGCCCCCCCAUCUACUCCUUCGGGAUUGCGGGGGGCGGAUGAUGGCCUCCCGUGCGCCUCGCCGCGCGGUUGGCAUAAAUGCCAAGUCCUCGGCGACGCACGCCACGACAAUCGGUGGUUGCGAAACCUCGGUUGCCCGUCGUGUGCGGUCGUCGCGCAUCGAGGGCUCGAAAAAAUUGCCGGGUUCCGGCUCGGCUUUCAACGCGACCCUAGGUCAGGCGGGGUUACCCGCUGAAUUUAAGCAUAUCAAUAAGCGGAGGA